rnacentral:rRNA from 1 species
CGCCGCGGUAAUACGUAGGGGGCAAGCGUUGUCCGGAAUCAUUGGGCGUAAAGAGCUCGUAGGCGGUUCAGUAAGUCGGGUGUGAAAGCUCCGAGCUCAACUCGGAGAGGCCACUCGAUACUGCUGUGACUAGAAUCCAGUAGGGGAGUGUGGAACUCCUGGUGUAGCGGUGAAAUGCGCAGAUAUCAGGAAGAACACCAGCGGCGAAGGCGGCACUCUGGGCUGGUAUUGACGCUGAGGAGCGAAAGUGUGGGUAGCAAACAGGAUUAGAUACCCUGGUAGUCCACACCGUAAACGUUGGGCACUAGGUGUGGGGAGGAUCAACCCUUUCCGUGCCGUAGCUAACGCAUUAAGUGCCCCGCCUGGGGAGUACGGCCGCAAGGCUAAAACUCAAAGGAAUUGACGGGGGCCCGCACAAGCGGCGGAGCAUGUUGCUUAAUUCGAGGCAACGCGAAGAACCUUACCUAGGUUGAACUACGCAGGAACAGCCACAGAGAUGUGGUGUCCUUCGGGGCCUGCGAUAGGUGGUGCAUGGCC